rnacentral:rRNA from 1 species
GCUGGCGGCGUGCCUAACACAUGCAAGUCGAGCGAUUUACUUCGGUAAAGAGCGGCGGACGGGUGAGUAACGCGUGGGUAACCUGCCUCAUACACAUGGAUAACAUACCGAAAGGUAUGCUAAUACAGGAUAAUAUAAGAGAUUCACAUGGAUUUUUUAUCAAAGCUGCGGUAUGAGAUGGACCCGCGUCUGAUUAGCUAGUUGGUAAGGUAAUGGCUUACCAAGGCGACGAUCAGUAGCCGACCUGAGAGGGUGAUCGGCCACAUUGGAACUGAGACACGGUCCAAACUCCUACGGGAGGCAGCAGUGGGGAAUAUUGCACAAUGGGCGAAAGCCUGAUGCAGCAACGCCGCGUGAGUGAUGAAGGCCUUCGGGUCGUAAAACUCUGUCCUCAAGGAAGAUAAUGACGGUACUUGAGGAGGAAGCCCCGGCUAACUACGUGCCAGCAGCCGCGGUAAUACGUAGGGGGCUAGCGUUAUCCGGAUUUACUGGGCGUAAAGGGU